UUUUCAACUUAAGAUCUUGGCAUAAAACAUGUUUAUGUGGAGGAAAUAAGAUUACAAGACAAAAAAUGCUAUUUCUUCAUGCAUUGUAGAAUGAGGGCUGUGGUUUGCAUGAAACUUUUUUUAUGCAUGCUCAUGUAUUAUGGUUUUUAAGGUUGGGUAUUUUGAUAUCUUGGUUGGUACUCGGCAUGAAUCAUGAAUUUUGGUUAUUGAACCUCUUGUUCAAAAUGCUCUGGUAGGAUUACGGGUGGAUAUGGAUGAAAUAUCAUCCUUAGAACCAUUAUAUUGCCCUCUGACUUCAUUGAACUUUAUUUACCCUGGCCCACUGAGACACAAAAAAAUUCUUACAUAGUAAGUGUUAACCAUUACCAGCAUUACAUGGUAAGUUAAUGUACUGCUUUGGUAAGUACUUUCUAUUGACUAGUUAAAAUGAUAUGACGAUGAUGCAAUUGACAUAAAAAUGAAGGAUUAAUGUAGUAAUCUGACAGAAUUGAACUUUCCUAGAAAUCUGUUUUCUUAUGUCACAUAUAAUUUCCUGAGAACUUUGUAUGAGAAAGAUGUAUUAUUCACGUUACACUUGAGAAAUGUGUAGAACAGGUCUUUGGAAACACACAAAUAAUGCUCAAAGUUAGGGAAAGCUGCAGAGAAACCUGAUCAAAAAUUGAUAAAAUUGUUUCUUUCAGUAGUUCCUAGUUUCAUAGGAAAUGCAUAUGACAAAUAGAUCUCAUUCACUUUCCACUUGGGGAAAUGAGGAGAAAAAGUCUUAUGAACCAUACAAAAAAUGCUCAAAGUUUAAGGGUAAGCAGCAGAGAACUUUUUCAAAUAUUGAUUUUCUUUUGGCAGCUCCUAGUUUCCUAUGAGCUUUCUCUAUGCUAAAAAAUAGCUUCCUGUUUCUCACUUUGGUGUCCUAUUCGAGAUUCUAUUCCCUUUUAUGUUCACAUAGCAAACUACAGCUUAGACAACGAAGUGGAUAGUCAAAAUAUUCCUAAAAUGAUUUAUUAUCACAAAAUCGCACAACCCACUCGACCAGAUUGAAUCAUUUAAAGCAAAUGGUAUGAGCAGUAUAAUUGAAAGUGAGUGGUUGGACUAUUGUAUAUUUUAUCAUAUAUUUAGGGCUGCAAAUGGGCCAGGUCAUAACUUGACCUGGUCCCGACCUGUCUAGGCCUGAUUUGACCCUUUUUUUUGGGACCCACAGGUAGGGUCUAGGACACAGAUACAAUUGUUUGAAUAAUUAGAUUGGGCCUUGGUCAUAUGUUUUCCUAUUCGACUUGUAUACUAAUUAAGUCUAUCAACAGGUCAAAUAUUAGAUGGCACUAUCCGGCCUGGUCUAGUUUGAUUCUGCUCAACCCAAAAAUGCAUAAUUUUAGAAUCCUUUGAACCUUAUAUGAGUAUCCAAUUUCCAUGUCGAGGUUUGUUGGCUGUGUAUCAAGGCUUUCUUUGCGUAUGUUGAAGACUUGAUAAGUGCGAACCAAGUUAUUGUCUGUUACAGUAGUAAUAGCAAUCCAUUUUAACACCCUUUUCCAAUUCUUUUUUCCUUUUAUCUAUGAUAUUAUUUUUCUUCUAAAUGCAAAUAAAUACUUUAUUAUUUUAUCGUACAAUGGACUUGAACCUAGGCCAGAUUUAACCCAGUCACUAAUGCACGGGGUUGGUUUUGGGUCUGAAAUCGUGAUCGAAGAUAAAAUAAGGUUGGGUUCGGGUCAUGCUUGCCUCGUUGGUCGUUGCUGACCAGUUUGUUACAGGCCCACAAAUCAAUGUCAUGAGGAAAUCGGAUGGUAUACUAAUGGACAGGUUGUUUUAGGUGAGGCUUAAGGCAGCCAAUGUUGGAGAGUAAGGUGGUGGCAUUUUGAUUUAUCUGUCUACCAUAUUUGAUGGCAAAAGCUUACAUACCUGAACUCUCCUUUUGCGAUUGGACUUCUCUAUCUAGCUAUACUUCUUUAUUGAAGGGGCAUGUGUAGAGUGACAAUGUAAUUAAAAGGGCAUCUAAUAGAGCCCUAAGACAACUAAAAUAGCGAAAGAAAAAGGUCUUCAGAGCUUAUGUUACCUCCACUUAACUAGGAAAGAGAGGGUGAGUCUACCUCCACCUAUCUCUCCACUUUUACUAUGAUUUCUUUUUCCUUGAAACAAAUCAUGUGCAUAACAUGUGCUAAAUGUUGGUAGGUGAGUGACAUAAUAGUGAGGCCUCCCAAUGCCUAAGCGCUAGGUGAGCACCCAAAGGUCAAGGAUAUUAACCUUGGAAGAAGUAAGGAUUUACACCUAUAGCUGAUGUCUUUUCAAAUGCCCAUCAUUUCGUUGUUGAAAGUUGUUGCAGUAGUAGCAAUAACUGCCUAUAGCCAUGGCGGCAGUAGCAACAACCCAUUGCAAUGCAUCUCCUAGUUGCCAAUAGAAAAAAAAGGGGAAAAGGGAGAGAAAAAAUUCUUACUGCGACCACUAGUUGCCAGUGCAAAGCUUGCACUCGCUCUUCUUUCCUCCUCGUCCUCUUUCUUCAAGGGACAAUAGACCAGGGUGGGAUGGUGGAUUUUGCGGUUUAAGUUAACAGAUCAGGUACUCGGUCAUUGAAACUCAACAUGAUAAAGCCAACUUGACACACCUGUGCUUUCUAGGCCCCAUAGGAACCUCUUCUAGGCUGAGGGGACUGCUUUGAUGCCCUUUUAAGCGCCUAGGCCACUUAGCCCUAGGCAAAAUGCUUUGGGAUAUGCCUUGCCGGAGUAUGCACCUAGGUAGUUAACAAAAGGACUCCUAAAUUUGAGCAUAACUUACGAGUUGUCCCUGCCUGCAUAUCUUGCAAAGACAUAUCAUCCAUGCCCAAAUUUGUGUACCAUUGAUUUCAUAUAUUUUAUACAAGUAUAGCAAGUAGAUGGUCAAAUUCUACUCUCAAACCUCACAUUUAGGAGUAGAAUGAUAAUUUAGACUUAAUGUAUGUCCAAAAUCACUCUUUCACUCACUUCAUUAUGUUUAAUUAUUUAUUUGAUGCCUCUAUAACACUCUUAGGCUUCUUCUAUGUUAUUUACAGCCUUUUGUGUCUCUACUUUGCAUUUGUAAGGGAAAACUUCAAUCUUUUCUCUAAAGACUCGUUUGGUUCGUGGGAAAAAUUUUACCUCACUGGAAUGUUUUUCUUAGGAAGUUGAUGCCUGGGUAUAUGAUACCUAGAAAAGUGGUUUUUUCAUAUUUGGUUGACCAUAGAAAAGUGAAACAAGAAACACACUUUUCAGAGUGACUUAUGUUUGGUUGAACAUCUACUUUUCUGAAAAAAUAGUUGUGUAAAAUACUUGUUAUGCCCUUAAUAAAGGGUCUACAAGGAAAAAUUGUCACACGCAUAAUUUUUAGAAUCAGAUACUUGGAACACCUAGUUCUAGAGGUUUUGAAGGUUCAACACCAAAAAGAUAAGAAUAUAUUUUUAAUAGCUGUUUUUCUAUAUUUUUAACUAUUAAAAUUACCACAAUUCAUAAUAUAUUUUUAGUAGCUAUGUUUAAAUAUUUUUAAAUACUUAAAAAUAGCUAUUAAAAUCUUUAUUGGGUUGAGUUUUUAGUUAAUAGUUAGACAAUUUCUUUAUAUUGUGAUAAUUUUAAAUAGUUAUUAAUAUAUUUUUAUAUUAAUAUUACCACAACUUCUCUAUAUUGUGGUAAUUUUUAUUGUAUAUUUUUAAUAGUUUAAGAUUAUGUAUUAAAAAUAGCUAUUAAGAAGAUCAUGAUAGCUUAAGGGCAUUUUUGAAAAAAAAACAUAAUUUUAAUGUCGUGGGAAAGUGGCUUUCUUAUGUCCCACACAGGUUUUUUUUCUAUAAAAUGAGGAAAACUUAUUUCCAUGGGAAAGCUAAUUUCCCAUCUCUUUGCUUUAUUCCCCCCAUUGCCUCGCCCCGCUCGCGCGUCUUCUUGUGAAACAAAUGAGUCCUAAAUAUAGAGUUGUUUUUUUCAUCAUAGUAAGGGGAUGGACUGUUUCUACUAGGAAAGGAUGUAUGUAUCAAUUAAGAAAUGAGAAAUAAUCAAUUUUCCAAACAAAAGACUUGGUUCUUCAAGACAUUUUAAAACCCAACUCAACCUAGUUUGUACAUUUGUCGUGAUUGGCAAUCUUUUCUGUGACUGUAUUUCAUCUGUUUGAUACAAUUGAUGCCUUGAUUGUUUUUUGACCAUGGUUUGAAGCAAGGUCCGCCGAACCGGUACGGGCCGGUCCAGUCUGGAACCGGUACCGAAUCAGCGUGGAAUCUAGUACCAGUAGCUUAUCGUUGGAGAACCGGUACGGAACCGGCGUGGAAUCUGGAACCGGUACGGGAUCGGACCGGAUCGGUAUCGUACCGGUCCGGGCCGCUACCAUUACGCUGAUUAGUACUAGUACGGUGGACCUUGGUUUGAAGUUUCAUUAAAUUUUCUACACUGAACUCUAUAGUUCUGGUCUUGGUCAAAUCCAAUCCUUAACUGAAGCCAGUUUUGAUCUAAACAGGUGGAACCAAGCUAUAUGUUGGCUCUAUAUCUUAUUUGUUUGCAUUUCUUCUUUUAUUUUUAGAUGUUGAGAAAUGUUACUCUAUACCAACUUUAAUUUUGCGAGUUUUGAGAACAUUUGGGACUGUGUGAUAUCAGAUAUCAAGGAUAUUCAUAGGAAAAAUGUAAAUUUUUGACAUAGGUAUGGUUAUCCUCUAAUCAAAACUGUGGAUGUUUCUGUUUGUUAUAUUUUAGGCUUGGUUGUAUUACAAUAAUAUUAUAUGAAGAUGUACAUUAUGGAUUUUUUCUUC